CCGGGUCUCACACUGUCACCCAGGCUGGAGUACAGUGGCAUAACCUCUGCUCACUGCAGCCUCCACCUGCCAGGCUCAAGCAAUUCUCCUGCCUCAGCCUCCCGAGUAGCUGGGAUUACAGGUAAGUGCCACCACACCCAGCUGAUUUUUGUGUUUUUUGUAGAGACGAGGUUUCGCCAUGUUUCCCAGACUGUUCUCAAACUCCUGAGCUCAAAGCAGUCCACCCACCUUGGCCUCCCAAAGUGCUGGGAUUACAGGUGUGAGCCACCUUGCUCAUUCUAGUUUAAACUUUGGAGUGGUUUGUGUCUCCUGAUUGGACUCCUGCAAAUACAGAAUUGAUGCUAGGAAGGGUACCAGGAGAUAGACGCACACAGAUGGGAUUUGGGAAUAGGUUUGGUUAUCCAAGGAGCAGUGCUGAGCUCCUUGCUAAUGGGAUAUGGGAUGCUGGUGAUUUCCAGUAAGUGACCUCAAAAUUACUCAGGCUACCACAUACUGUUGAUUGUGAUGAAAUGCCAGUUGAAGCACCUGUCCUGCGAGCUUAGGGGUGCUACAAGUUGACCACUGCAGCAGUAAAGAUGACUCUGAAGAAUGGCAUGGGAUGGAUCCUUUCGAAUGCACUUGAGCAGCGGUCUCCAACCACAGGGCCACAGAGCUGGAGCUGGAUCUACCAUGAAAGACCUCUGAAUCCAGGAAGAGAGACUGACUGAGCAACAUGUUAUUCAGGGUCUCCAUCUGUUGUCCAAGGCUGGAGUGUAGUAGUGCUAUCACAGCUGACUGCAGCCUCAACCUUCCAGGCUGAAGCGAUCCUCCCAUCUCAACCUCCCACGUGGCUGAGACUACAGGUGCUUGCCACUAUGCCCAACUAAUAUUUGGAAUUUUCGUAUACGUGGAUUCCAGAGGGGUGACAGUGAAACGUGAGUAAGCAUGGAUUUUGGUAUAUGCAGAGAUGGGGGGCUGGAACUAAUUCUGUAUACUGAGGGACGACUGUAUAUGUUUUUACAAUUACGCUGUAGGAUACAUACUGUUGCAUAGCCUUGAAAAUAAUAAUUUUU
rnacentral:lncRNA from 10 species